rnacentral:hammerhead_ribozyme from 1 species
AGCCGGCCGACGAGUCGCAAAUAGGAUGAAACGCGCUUCCCGGAU